AAGAGGACAUUAACUUACAGAGCAUCACAGCGAGUGAACUGAAGUCCAUCAUCACUGAUUCUCCUCGAUGACUGACUGAUCAGAAGCCUCAGCGCUUCCUGUGUUCCUUUAGAGUAUGAGGAUCUUCCAGUUUUCGCGGCACUCACUUCCGGGUUUGCGGUGCACGCUUCCGUGUCGGCGGCCAUUUUUGUUCCUGAUCCCUGAUCCCUGUUCUGCUCUACCUUCCUUUUUCUGGUUUGGACUCUGGACUGUUUUUGGUUUUUGUGUUUUUGCUAUGCCUAUGUUGCAUUGUUUACCAGCUCUCUGAAUUUUGGACUGUUUUUUUUGGAUUUGUUUUCGUCUAUGCCUGCAUUACCCUGUUUGCCUGUUUUUAGAACAUGGGUUGUGUUUUUGCCUUGUCUCUGUUGGCUCUGACCCUAGAUCC